rnacentral:lncRNA from 1 species
UCUCAGGGAAGAGAGGACACAUGCUGCUGGCAUCCUCAAUAAGGUGGUGCUACCUACAUGUUGAGUUUUACAGCCUGAAUGGUACUUUCACCAUGGAGUCAGCUGUGCUAAGGUCUGGAGGCCUACUAAGGCAUCUAUCAAAGGCAGCUGAGGAAAAGCCACCUUCCGAGACAUCUUGGUGACCCCCAAGAGAAGCCAUUGGCAUCUUUCUCUCCAAGGAAACCCCGCUACCCUGGAGGAAGAGAAAACAGAAAUAUCUUGGGAGUGUUCACCAGACCAGGUACUACACUCACGUGGAAGUUUCCUCCCAGUUGGCGACUGCAUUUUAUAUUCCCAGGCCAAGAGACUGUGGCCUCAGCCUUCAGCUCUGAGACGUGCUGUGGGGUUGUGAGCUCGCUGGAAGCCAGACAGGGUGGCCACACUGGAGUCUAUUUGAGUGUGAGCUGCCAUGAUCACUUGGCCCACCUGAAGGAAGGUGUCUACUCUUUCAAAUAAGAAUUUAAAACGAAAGGGAGUGAGGGAUUGAUUGCCUGGCAUCUGUCUCGCCAGAUGCCAGAUACCCUAUGUGAGCUCAGUAAGAGCCAUGGGAGCUCCCUCCUCACAGCAGAAGGAUCCAGAAG